GAUUGAGCUCACGGAGCAUUCUCUCACCAAAGGGCGCGUUACGCAGGAGCGCACGGAACUCUGGGUAGAGAAUGCUCACGGAGAGGAAAUUGUGAACAGGCAGACAUUUUAAAAGAGAGUAAAAAUGAGUUACGGAAGAGGACCUCCCGAAAUUGACGGGAUGUCUUCAUUGAAAGUUGAUAAUUUAACGUACAGAACAACACCAGAAGAUUUACGAAGGGCAUUUGACAAGUAUGGCGAUGUUGGAGAUGUUUACAUUCCACGGGACCGAUUCACCCGUGAAAGCAGGGGAUUUGCGUUUGUUAGAUUCUAUGACAAAAGGGAUGCCGAGGAUGCGCUGGACUCCAUGGACGGCGCGAUCAUGGACGGUCGAGAGUUGAGGGUGCAGAUGGCUAGAUACGGACGACCUUCUGAGCCACACAGGAGAGGGCCUCCGAGACGUAGCAGUGGAUAUCGUUCAAGAAACAGGUCAAGAUCUAGGUCGCGUUCCAGAUCUAGACGCCGAUCCAGGUCUAGAUCCAGACGAAGGAGCAGACGUUCCAGGAGUAGGUCGUACAGCAGGUCAAGAAGUAGGAGUAACAGCAAGAGCCCAAGCAGAAGCCGAUCACGAAGCAAGUCGGCAUCUCGUUCUCCUAACAGAAAUGAUGACGGCCAGCGGGAGGAAGACUGAGGGCCAUUUGGUGGUGUUAAGGCCAACUGUGUGCAUCGUGAAACUUGACUGCAUGACUGAGACAUGUGCAGUUUAUCUCUUGAUAUACUCCUGUGCAAAAAAAAAAGGAGUAAGUAAGCUGUUGGUAUGCAGGUCACUGCUUGUGCAGUAGCAGACUUGCAGUAGUGCUGUGCAGUUGCAGUAAUGUGCUGUAGCGGUCUGGUGAUGCAGUGGGAGACAGCCCCACCUCAUGCUGUUACUGAGUGCAGAUGGUUCAGUGGGUGGGGGGCAAAUGAAUUAUUAAAGGGGACAAAUAAAUCUUAAAGUGUAUGGAAAGAAAA